rnacentral:rRNA from 1 species
GACGAACGCUGGCGGCGUGCUUAACACAUGCAAGUCGAACGGAAAGGCCCUGCUUUUGUGGGGUGCUCGAGUGGCGAACGGGUGAGUAACACGUGAGUAACCUGCCCUUGACUUUGGGAUAACUUCGGGAAACUGGGGCUAAUACCGGAUAGGAGCUCCUGCUGCAUGGUGGGGGUUGGAAAGUUUCGGCGGUUGGGGAUGGACUCGCGGCUUAUCAGCUUGUUGGUGGGGUAGUGGCUUACCAAGGCUUUGACGGGUAGCCGGCCUGAGAGGGUGCCCGGCCACAUUGGGACUGAGAUACGGCCCAGACUCCUACGGGAGGCAGCAGUGGGGAAUAUUGCACAAUGGGCGGAAGCCUGAUGCAGCAACGCCGCGUGCGGGAUGACGGCCUUCGGGUUGUAAACCGCUUUCGCCUGUGACGAAGCGUGAGUGACGGUAAUGGGUAAAGAAGCACCGGCUAACUACGUG